rnacentral:ncRNA from 1 species
UAUAAGUUUGAUUCUUGCUUGCAAUAUUUGCUUCCCAAUUGAUAACAUAUGAAAAUCCCAGUGCUCCCAAAAUAAUAGCAGUUAAAAACUCCAAAAUAAAAUAGAUCUCAAUGUAUAUUAUUUUUACAUCAGUGAAAACUGGAAAAAGCAAAUUGAGUCAUCUCUGGCUAAAUUUUGUGCCAGCAGUCGCGGUUAUACUCGAAGAGAGAGUAAAUAAAAAUCGAUAUUUAACUUUUAUGUCAUGCUAACGAUUUUUUUAAUUUUAUAAAGAGUAAAAUCAGCUUUUUAAAGAUAAAUAAAUCACACCAUUCUGUUAAUAAGUUAAUAAACAAAGGAAAUAAACUAGGAUUAGAUACCCUACUAUACCUUUAAGAAACUCCCAUAUCCGAUUAGUAACAGCUAUGUACUCUAAAUUCAAAGAAUUUGGCGGUAUUUUAGUCUGAUUAGGGGAACCUGUCUUUUAAACGAUAAACCACGAAAAAUCUUACCUAUCUUACCAUAGUUUGUAUACCGUCAUUUAGAUAACUUUUAUAGAACAAGUUAUUGAAAUAAUUCCAUUAAAAUAUUAGAUCAAGGUGCAGCAUAUAUUUAGGUUAAGAUGGGUUACAAUAAAAUUUAUAUUACCACGAACAAAUUUUAGAACAUAAAUUUUGAAGGUGGACUUAAAAGUAAGACUAUUUCAAUAAGAUAGCCUGAUUUUAGCUCUAAAAUGUGCACAUAUCGCCCGUCGCUUUCAUUGAUUCAAGAUGAGAUAAGUCGUAACAUAGUAGGUGUACUGGAAAGUGUACCUGGAAAACA